CAGUCGCCGCGGGAAUACAGAGGGUGCAAGCGUUAAUCGGAAUUACUGGGCGUAAAGCGCGCGUAGGUGGUUCGCCAAGUUGGAUGUGAAAUCCCCGGGCUCAACCUGGGAACUGCAUCCAAAACUGGCGAGCUAGAGUAUGGUAGAGGGUGGUGGAAUUUCCUGUGUAGCGGUGAAAUGCGUAGAUAUAGGAAGGAACACCAGUGGCGAAGGCGACCACCUGGACUGAUACUGACACUGAGGUGCGAAAGCGUGGGGAGCAAACAGGAUUAGAUACCCCUGUAGUCCCUGUCUCUUAUAC
rnacentral:rRNA from 1 species